rnacentral:lncRNA from 1 species
GGAGUCUGGAGGGGUGAAGACAGGGCCUAGGAUACUUCUUUAGAGUGCAGGCAAACAAAGGCCGUGUGAGACCCAGACCGCCCCUAAAAAGAUCCUUCACAAAAAUGGCAUUCCGAUAAGUUUUGGUCUUUCUAAAAUAUAUUCAUUUAAAAAUUCUAAAAGCUGUUUUAUUCUUUUGAUUGGUAUAGUUACUGUACAUAUUUAUGGUGUGCAUAUCAUGACCAAAUCUGGGUCAUAGGUUCUGGUUGGCAGGAAUUGAUUAUGUAACCCCAAACAGAAGAUCUUGGGCACAGUUUUAUACUUAUAAAUGACCCAUUUAAAAGGCAGGUUAUACCUUGUAGGGUAUAUAUCUAUGUUAGGAUCAACAUUAAUAAUAUUUCUGUCUUAAAAAUAUAUAACUUAUCUUUUGUGCCAGCAGUGCUUCAUCAAACUAAGAAGAUAGUGUUUUGUUUUUGUUUUGUUUUUGUUUUUUGUUUUGAUUUGUUUUUUUUGAGACAGGGUCUCAUGUAGCCAAAGCUGACCAGGAUCUUCCAAUCCUCCUGCCUC